GAUGAAGAACGCAGCGAAAUGCGAUAAGUAGUGUGAAUUGCAGAAUUCAGUGAAUCAUCGAAUCUUUGAACGCACAUUGCGCCCUUUGGUAUUCCUUAGGGCAUGCCUGUUCGUGCGUCAUUUAAACCUUCAAGCUAAGCUUGGUGUUGGGUGACUGUCCGCUUCACUGCGGACUCGCCUCAAAAUUAUUGGCGGCCGGUACAUUGGCUUCGAGCGCAGCAGAAACGCGAACUCGGGCCCGUCGUAUUGGCUCCCAGAAGCUAUCUUCACAAUUUUGACCUCGGAUCAGGUAGGGAUACCCGCUGAACUUAAGCAUAUCAAUAAGCGGAGGA
rnacentral:misc_RNA from 1 species